AUUGAACGCUGGCGGCAUGCCUUACACAUGCAAGUCGAGCGGAUGAAGGUAGCUUGCUACCUGAUUCAGCGGCGGACGGGUGAGUAAUGCCUAGGAAUCUGCCUGGUAGUGGGGGACAACGUUUCGAAAGGAACGCUAAUACCGCAUACGUCCUACGGGAGAAAGUGGGGGAUCUUCGGACCUCACGCUAUCAGAUGAGCCUAGGUACGAUUAGCUAGUUGGUGAGGUAAAGGCUCACCAAGGCGACGAUCGUUAACUGGUCUGAAAGGAUGAUCAGUCAAACUGGAACUGAGACACGGUCCAGACUCCUACGGGAGGCAGCUGUGGGGAAUAUUGGACAAUGGGCGAAAUCCUGAUCCAGCCAUGCCGCGUGUGUGAAGAAGGUCUUCGGAUUGUAAAGCACUUUAAGUUGGGAGGAAGGGAAGUAAGUUAAUACCUUGCUGUUUUGACGUUACCGACAGAAUAAGCACCGGCUAACUUCGUGCCAGCCGCCGCAGUAACAC
rnacentral:rRNA from 1 species